rnacentral:rRNA from 1 species
AUUGAACGCUGGCGGCAGGCUUAACACAUGCAAGUCGAGCGGAGAGAGGUAGCUUGCUACUGAUCUUAGCGGCGGACGGGUGAGUAAUGCUUAGGAAUCUGCCUAUUAGUGGGGGACAACAUUUCGAAAGGACUGCUAAUACCGCAUACGUCCUACGGGAGAAAGCAGGGGAUCUUCGGACCUUGCGCUAAUAGAUGAGCCUAAGUCGGAUUAGCUAGUUGGUGGGGUAAAGGCCUACCAAGGCGACGAUCUGUAGCGGGUCUGAGAGGAUGAUCCGCCACACUGGGACUGAGACACGGCCCAGACUCCUACGGGAGGCAGCAGUGGGGAAUAUUGGACAAUGGGCGGAAGCCUGAUCCAGCCAUGCCGCGUGUGCGAAGAAGGCCUUAUGGUUGUAAAGCACUUUAAGCGAGGAGGAGGCUACUUUAGUUAAUACCUAGAGAUAGUGGACGUUACUCGCAGAAUAAGCACCGGCUAACUCUGUGCCAGCCGCCGCAGUAAAAC